UUAACCCAUUUAACAACUCAACCAAUCAAAUUAAAUGAGUUAUGGGUUGACCCAACCCAUUUAACAAAAUGAGUUGGGUCAACCCAUAACUCAUUUAACCCUAAACUCAUUUGAUUAUGAGU
rnacentral:pre_miRNA from 2 species